CCCUGCAGCCCAAGACUGGUUGCCCACUGAAGCUAAGCAGGGUUGAGCCUGGUCAGUAUCUGGAUGGGAGACCUCCUGGGAAAACUAGGCUGCUGUUGGAA
rnacentral:rRNA from 1 species